rnacentral:lncRNA from 1 species
GCUUGCAUGGUGGAAAACCUUCUCUCCACAAAUCUCAGACCCGGUGUCAAAUGACCUUUGGACCACAUCCUUCUUGGCCUUCUGACUUGAACCAAGAUCGCAUUUGCCAAGUGCCAGCCCAGCACCUGGCACACAGAGCCAGCUUCCUGCUUCCUGCCCUUCUGCCUCUGCUGGCUUCUCUUCCUGCCUCUUCUCCACAAGUGGCUGCCCCUCCCCUCUGCUCUGCCUGUGUUGCUGUGAGACCACGGGCAAAGGCUUUCUGAGGCUUGUUUUUCUCAUACAUAAAGCAGGUGUAAAUAUAGUGCCUUUGGA